UACGUAGGGCGCAAGCGUUGUCCGGAAUUAUUGGGCGUAAAGAGCGUGUAGGCGGCCUGACAGGUCUGCUGUGAAAACUCGAGGCUCAACCUCCAGCCUGCAGUGGGUACGGGCAGACUAGAGUGCGGUAGGGGAGAUUGGAAUUCCUGGUGUAGCGGUGGAAUGCGCAGAUAUCAGGAGGAACACCGAUGGCGAAGGCAGAUCUCUGGGCCGUAACUGACGCUGAGGAGCGAAAGCAUGGGGAGCGAACAGG
rnacentral:rRNA from 1 species